GGGCCUAUAGCUCAGUUGGUCAGAGCAGGGGACUCAUAAUCCCUUGGUCGUAGGUUCAAGUCCUACUGGGCCCACCA
rnacentral:tRNA from 8 species